rnacentral:rRNA from 1 species
GAUGAACGCUGGCGGCGUGCCUAAUACAUGCAAGUCGAGCGAACGGACGAGAAGCUUGCUUCUCUGAUGUUAGCGGCGGACGGGUGAGUAACACGUGGAUAACCUACCUAUAAGACUGGGAUAACUUCGGGAAACCGGAGCUAAUACCGGAUAAUAUUUUGAACCGCAUGGUUCAAAAGUGAAAGACGGUCUUGCUGUCACUUAUAGAUGGAUCCGCGCUGCAUUAGCUAGUUGGUAAGGUAACGGCUUACCAAGGCAACGAUGCAUAGCCGACCUGAGAGGGUGAUCGGCCACACUGGAACUGAGACACGGUCCAGACUCCUACGGGAGGCAGCAGUAGGGAAUCUUCCGCAAUGGGCGAAAGCCUGACGGAGUAACGCCGCGUGAGUGAUGAAGGUCUUCGGAUCGUAAAACUCUGUUAUUAGGGAAGAACAUAUGUGUAAGUAACUGUGCACAUCUUGACGGUACCUAAUCAGAAAGCCACGGCUAACUACGU